rnacentral:rRNA from 1 species
GACGAACGCUGGCGGCGUGCCUAAUACAUGCAAGUAGAACGCUGAAGGCGGAGCUUGCUUCUCUGGAUGAGUUGCGAACGGGUGAGUAACGCGUAGGUAACCUGCCUGGUAGCGGGGGAUAACUAUUGGAAACGAUAGCUAAUACCGCAUAAUAGUAGAUGUUGCAUGACAUUUGCUUAAAAGGUGCAAUUGCAUCACUACCAGAUGGACCUGCGUUGUAUUAGCUAGUUGGUGGGGUAACGGCUCACCAAGGCGACGAUACAUAGCCGACCUGAGAGGGGGAACGGCCACACUGGGACUGAGACACGGCCCAGACUCCUACGGGAGGCAGCAGUAGGGAAUCUUCGGCAAUGGACGGAAGUCUGACCGAGCAACGCCGCGGGAGUGAAGAAGGUUUUCGGAUCGUAAAGCUCUGUUGUAAGAGAAGAACGAGUGUGAGAGUGGAAAGUUCACACUGUGACGGUAUCUUACCAGAAAGGGACGGCUAACUACGUG